rnacentral:lncRNA from 1 species
AAAGAAGCCUGACUCCCGGCGUGCGCAGACGCAGAGCUACCUCAAGGCGGAACGGGUGUUGGGAGCUUCAGCAACCCAAACACCCGGUGUGAAAGGAAGGUGGCAGCCGUCGAGCGGUGCGCAUGCGCAGGCAGCCCUCCGCGGUGAAGGGCUAAGAGGCGGACCCGGUGGCCAGCUGGAGCCGGAGCAGGAGCGGAGCAGGGUCAGGAUGGACGAGGACGUGUUGACCACUCUGAAGAUCCUCAUCAUCGGCGAGAGUGGAGUAGGCAAGUCCAGGUGAGGCGGUGUGCGGGCAGUGACGAGCGCGGCGGGGCUUAUUCUGCCUCUGCGGCCUCUGUCUUCAGGGCCGUGACGGGAACGAUAACCGGCGCCGUCCCUGCAGUGGCCGGGCUCGGGCCCUCUUCGCUCGUGCCCCGGUCGUUCUCUCGCGCGCUCCUGUGGCCUCUGCUCCCCGCGCCCCGCCCCGCACCUGCCCGGUUCACGGCCUCGACCAGGCCCAAGUUGUCCGGAUAGCUGUUCCUCCUGCCGCACAGAGGAAAAGGAUUCCCGGGGCCGCCGGUUUGCCACCGCGGAGUUCAGGGCGUGGCGGGCGGGCUUGGGCCCGAGUCCAGCGGAGAGCGACGCUUCGCCCUGGCCUUGGGGUGCAGGCUACUGUCACCCCCCGGAGACGCGAACUGUAACUUUAUCACUUUGAAAUUUAUGUCGGGCUUUCUCUAAAUACGUAAUGUUCCACACAGGAAGUUUCGUGACGCCUUAGGUCACAUUCCUGGCCUAUUUUGGCGCAGCCUAUUGUCGCGUCUUAUUUUUUAAAAUAUUAGUCGGCUGUGAAAGAACCGAACCCAUUUGCCUUGUACUUUUGAAAAUUUCACUUUAGUGUAAGGUUCGAGCGCUUAAGCUGAGGCCACCUUUGAAAAUAAGGCGAAAUGGUUCCUUCUCUUUUGCCACAUCAUAUGGAGAUCAAAGGACAAAUUAGUGUUGUCUUUCCUUUUUACACUCUUUCUUUAGGGAAAAUAAUAUUCACAAGAGUUCAUAUUAGGGAAGAUGUGGAUGUAGAUGGCUGUUGACAGAGGUUUGUAAUUUUAUCCAGGUUUUGAACAGAGUUCUCCAGGUGAAGUCAACCUUACCAUCUGAUUAUGAUUGUAUUAUAGUCUAGGUCUUAUUGAUCUUUAAACUCCAGGGGCAAUCUCAUUUAGCUGUACUUUCUGAUGUACCUUUCUUUCAAAUAACUUUUUAAGAUUAUGAAGUCUUUCUUUUCUAGGUACUUAAGGAUUUGCAAGCUUAUGUAAUAAAGCCUGAAAAUUUGUAUAUUUUUUUCAAGUUUGACAGUACAUUUUCAUAGUUCUUCUCAUUUAAUGUACUUUGUAUACUAAAAUGCAGAAUUUGCAUAUACCAAGGAGUAGAUUAGUAAAACACUCUGGGUUAGCAUAAUUUGGUAUGUGUGUGUGUGUGUGCAUAAAGUGUGGACAAAAUCAUUUUCAUGAUCACCAUCUAUUUUUGUACAAUUAAAAUUGUCAGAAGUUAUAUAGUAAACAUUAUUUUACUAGAAAUUGCAUAGUCUUGUGUUCUUUCUUUCCUCUUUGUUUCCCUUGAGAUAGGGCCCUCAUUUAAGACAUGAAAUUGCUGUUUUUGAAUACAAGAAUAGUUGGUUGUCAUUUCAUGUGAGUCAACCCAAUAUAUGAUUGGUUGGCACAUUAAUGUGUAAUGAGUGGAUGGUGAGUUAAAGGUGUGUAGAUUUUUUUUGUGGAAGGUUAACUGGAGGUACAAUGAACUGGAAAUAAUUUAAGUUCCCCUUUUAGAAUAUGGUCUGUUAUGUGGAUUCAUCAAUUUUCCUCAUUCACUCUAACAAUCUUAUAUAUAUAUAUAAUUCAUUUAAAACUUUCUCAGCACUAAAUGGUGAAUUGUGAACUACUCACUGCAAAAUUUUAACAGUUGUACUCUUCAAAGAAAGAAUUGCACCUAGGAAUGUAGCUGUUAUUUUUCUAACUAGAUAGACAUUUUUGGUCAGUGUGAUGUUAUAGAAAACAAUAAAUGACUUUAAAGUUGAAGUGAGUGAUUUUUAAGGCAAGUUAGUACAAAAACAUUUGUCAUAGAUAUGCUCAUAAAGUGUUGUUCUGACUAGUAAUUUGCUUCUGUUUCUUUAUAGAGCUAGUUCAAGUGGAAGUGAAAUGGCAUUGUGUUGUUGAGAAAUUAUUGCCCAACAAAGAAUUUCUUAAUUUGGGCUGGGGUUGUGGCUCAGCUGUAGAGCGGUCACCUAUCAUGUAUGUGGCCCUGGGUUUGAUCCUCAGCACUACAUAAAAAUAAAUAAAUAAAAUAAAAGGUAUUGUGUCCAACUACAACUAAAAAUAAAUAUUUAAUAAAAAAAAUCUUAAUCUGAUUAGUUGAUUUCCUUCCAGUUUAUUUCAUAUUGUUAAGAGUGUAAAGAUUUUUGUGAUACCAAGAUUAUGAAACUAGUGUUGCUGCUUAUGUAACCUUGUGUGUGAUAUUUGAACUCUCUAGGCCUUCCCUGGAAAAGUGAAGGGGUUGGGAUAGAAACCUCUCAAAACUAUCCAAAAUUAAAUGUACAGUUUAAGAUUCUAAUUCAUGGCUAGGCCUGAUAAAGUAAAAAUGUAGCAAAGUGUAUCAAGAACAGGGAAGGAUUUAUAGAACCCUUCUGAUCUAAAGUGAUGUUCCUCCUAGAGUUAAGAAUAUAUUUUGGACUACCACUGUACCCCUGGCAAAGAUCUGACUUACACUCAGUUUGGAUUUGUUGCUUUAUACCAUACCAAUUCCCUAUCUUUCUGACAAAGUAUCAACCAUAGGGCUCUUGUAAGGAUAUACAGUUAUGGAAGGAAAAUGUGUGGCCUAUUGUUAUAUGUUCAUAAAUAAGUCAAUACCAUUAUUACUUGUAUUAUUAUGAUAUUUUAUUACUACUAUAUAAGGUUAUGUUAACCUAAGGUUUUUUUUUAGUUUUGUUAUUUGUGGUUUUAUUGUUGUUGUUUUUGGUUUUUUGGUACUAGGGAUUGAACCCUGACUUUAACACUAAGCUACAUCCCCAGUCCUUUCUAUUUUUUAUUUUAAUGCAGGGUCUCACUAAGUUGCUUAGAGCCUCACCAAGUUGCUGAGGCCAGCCUCAAACUUGCAAUCUUCCUGCCACAGUCUCCUGAGCCACUGGGAUUACAGGCGUGUGCCACUGCACCAGGAAAACCUAAGUUUUUGUAGUAAUAUUUUCUGUGUUGACCAAGUGUAGAUAUAUAUCUUUUAUUCUUAAAUUGUGGGUAACUGAGUACGUGAAGAGAGAAGAAAAGAAUUUUUUAAAAAGUCGUUAGGUGUCUUAUUAGUGUUGUUUCCUGACUCAUGUUGCAAGUAAGCAAAAAUAUAUUUAAGAUGUUGACUAGAAGAAAAACCUAGUUUGACUCGUGUGUUCAUUUGUUUCUGUGGUGCCUGUGUUACAGCAAACACAAAAAAACAAAUUUAAAUCUCUUACAUAUAAUUAAAUGACAUUGGGUUUUGAAUCUAGCAAGAGUUCAUAUUCUUUGUGGACAAAACUUUCUCUAGCAGCAGUAAUCACAAUCUGUGGAAGUUUCAUAAAAUUUCUAAUUCAGACAUGGGAUAAUGGUUUUCUUAAUUUUUUAAAUGCCAAUAGGUUGAUAAAACUAACUUAUGCUUUAGUAGUUAUAUAAGCGCAGAUUGAUUCAUUUUGUAAAUUUUGGACUUUAAGAAAGGCUUAGAUUUAUUAUUUUAUUUAUUUGGUGUUUCAGAUUGAACCCAAAAGCAGUUAACCACUAAGCCACAUCUCCAGCCCUUUUUAUUUUUUAUUUUGAGACGGUUCUCCCUGAAUUCUUUUCUCUUUUAAAAAAUAUUUAUUUUUUAGUUGAGUUGGAUAUGAUACCUUUAUUUUGUUAUUUUUAUGUGGUGCUGAGGAUUGAACCGAGGCCUCACACGCAAAUGCUCUGCCACUGAGCCACAAUCCCAGCCAUCUCCCUGAGUUCUUUAGGGCCUUGCUGAAUUGCUAAGACUUACCUUAAAUUUGCAAUCCUCCUGCGUCAACCUCUUGAGUCACUGGGAUUACAGGCAUGCACCACCAUACUAGGUUAUAGAUUUUAUUUUUGAACAACUUUUAAUAACUGACCCUUCUGCCUCAUAUUAAGUAAAAUAAUGCUGGGAGAUGUAAAAUCUUAGCAUACCCUUCUAAUCUGAUGUCUUGUUUUCAACCCUUCCUUUCUGAUUUCUUUACCAUUUCCAAGUUUAGUCCUUCCCUCUCUCCUCAUAAUCCAUAUAACCAUAUAAUCAUAAAAUCAUGGCUGUUAUCUCUUUCUUCUGUUGAUUUUCUUCCUUUUUUUUUCUGGCAUUAACUUUUCAAAAAAUUUUUUUUUCAUUCCUCUCUUUAAAAGCCUUCAUUAGUCCAAAAUGCUUAUUUGGUUUCUCACAACCUAAGGAUUAUUUGCCAGAAUAUACCUACUCUGCUUGUCACUGAUCUUUCUCCCUUCCUUUUUACCAUAUCUUUUCUUCCCACAUGGAUAAUAGUAAUACUUCUUGUUACAAAUACUAUGCUUUUAUACUUUCUUCUUUUUAUUUGAGUACAGAAUAGAUACCCAACAGAUUUUUUUUAAAUGAUUUUAUUUCAUUUCAAGAGGCUUGAUUUCUCCCGCCUUCAUCCAUGAAAGCUAUCAUUUUCUUAGAAGGACAUGCCAGUACAAAUUUUUCUUUAAGUUGAUAACAGCAAAAACAAAAAACACCUUUUUGCAUUUGAGGAAUUGUGGAGGGGAACAUAGGGUGUACAUUUAUGAGUAAGCUGCUUUGUCCUUGGGAUUUUUAAAAUUGCCUUUUCAAUCAUUUAAUUUCUCCUGAUAUUUCUUCCCUGAGGUAGUAUUACCAGAGCUGACCUACAUCAGCUCGUCUUAUCUGCAUCUAAUAACUUGUGAUAAAAUAUAACUAUGAUGAACACAUUUGUCGUAUAAUUAGAAAUAAAAGCUGAAUUCCUAAUGUGUCUCUUUAAUUCUCUUUUAGCCUGCUCUUGAGGUUCACAGAUGAUACUUUUGAUCCAGAACUUGCAGCAACAAUAGGUAAGUCUAAGUUUAAAAGUUUAGAAGGAAUUUUUUAAUUUUUAGAAUGGUUGUUUUGUCUAAAUCCCCCUAUCCUCUUCUUGCCACCCCACUGCUUCCAUGUAUGUUGCAAUUUUAUUUGUCUUUUAAGACUCAACUUUGACUAAUUAAGACAAAUAAAAAAUUUUUUUAAAAAAAGAAGACUUUGGUGUCAUUAACUCCAAAGUCUUUUCUACGUCUCAUCCAGCAAAAACAACUUCUUUAUCUUUUACCCAUGGCAUUUUGUUGAUGUUACUAAUGCGAUUAUCUGUACAUGUUUCAUUCCUAUAACUAUGGGUUUUUUUAAAUUUGUUAGUAUACGCAAUAAUUUGAGUAUUAUAUAGCAGACAGUGUCCUAAGAGCUGGGGCUUUAAUGGUGACUAAUACAUAUUUUGUCAGUUUUAUAGUUUUAACAUUUACUGCAGUGAUUGGUAUAUAUUCUGAACUCCCUCAUUUAUUGAUAAUAGCUAUUAAAGAUUACUAGGAGCAAUGAUACAGAAAGGCUUUUUUUUUUUUUGGUACUGGGGAUUGAACUCAGGGGCCCUUGACCACUGAGCCACAUCCUCAACCCUGUUUUGUAUUUUAUUUACACACAGGGUCUUACUAGGUUGCUUAGGGCCUUGCUUUUGCUGAGGCUGGCUUUGAACAUGCGAUUCUUCCUGCUUUAGCCUCCUGAGCCACUGGGACUUAGUCCACAGGCAUGCACCACUGUGCCCCAAGUGCUUUAUAAAAAUAAACUUUAGAUUGCCUGAAAGUGGUUUAUUACACUAGCAUAUAAUAAUAUUUGAGAAAAUGGAAGUAAAUAUUUCAAUAUCACAUGUUUGGAAAGUAGGCAACAUAUAAAGCCAUUAGGAGACAUUUUGGAAUAGUUGAAAGAUUGUUUAACUAGGUUAGAUCUGUACAGUUGUCAUGGUUUCUCCUUGAACGAGGUAUGAUCUUGAGCAAGUCAUUUAACACUUGGUUCUUUUCAUCUGUAAGUUGAGAGGUUUUGGUGAGAGAUACAUUUUUCUUCCAAUUCUAAAUUUCAUGGUCUGCUAAGUAGAAUAUGGUAAAGAUGACUAUAGUAUUAUUUAUUGUCAGGGAAAAGAAAAAGUUUCUUUCUACUGGCUUUAUUUGUUUUUAUUGAUUUUGAAAUAAUUUCAUACUUAGAAAUAAGUUCUAGUAAAUAGUAAAGAAUGCUUAUAUAUUCUACUCAAAUUCCCCCAAAUUUAAUAUUUAUUACAUUUGCUUUAUUAUUUUCUAUUUACAUAGUGUUCUUUUUUAGUGAAUUGUUUGAGAAUAAGUUGCAGACAUGUUUUUAAUAUCUGAAUACUUUAAUGCUUAUUUCCUAAAUGCAUGGAUAUAAUUCUCCUGUCUACAGACAGAUUUCAUUAAUUGUCUGAUUAAUAUUCUGCAUAACAAAAGAAAAACAAUUGUUUUGGUCUAGGAUCCUAUCCAGGGUCAAGCAUUGAAUUUAGUUGUCAGUUCUCUUCAGUCUCUUUUAAUUGAAAUGGUUUUUCAGUCUGUCUUUCCAUAGCCUUGACAGUUUUGAAAAUUACAGAUCUUUGUAUGAUGUCCCUCAAUUUGUGCUUGUCCAGUGUAUCCUCAUGGUUAGAUUCUAGCCAUGCAUUUUUGGUAUGAAUUCCACAAAACCUCUUCUCUAUGCAUUAUGUCAGGAGCAAACCAUGUUUAUUUGUCCUAAUAGAAUGCAACGUUGGUCACAUAGGAUGAUAUAUUUUUUUUUACUGUAAAGUUAAUAUUUUUCCUUUAUAACUAAUAGAUAUCUUGUGAAGAGAUUUUUUGAAACUGUAUAGACAGACAUUCUGAUUCUUAUACUUUUUACACUCUUAUUUUAGUAUCUGUUGAUAAUUCUUUCCUGCAACAGGUAAUAGGGACAAUACAUGAUCUUGUCAGCCCAACUCUGGUUGUCAAAUGAUUUUUCAAAUGCCCUCAUUCUGUUUAUAUUUCUUACUUGAAAUUCUAUAACAAAGAGCUCUUCUUUUUUUCUUUCUUUCAAUGUGAACUCAUAGUGCCUCUAAACUUUUAGUAAAAAUGAGGUAUUACUCAGCUUUUGUAUAGCAAUGAUAUUUAUAGAUUUAUAUGUAUGGUAAGAAAGGUAAUCAUUUAAAACACUAGUAAUUCAAUAUCCAUUUUAAUUUGGUUUUUGUGCUUUUUUGCUCCUCUAAAAAGUUACUUAGUAGCAAAACUUAAUUUUUUUGAGAGGAUGGCUGGUAAUGUAUAAUGUAGGAUAGAGGAAUAGAAUUGGUAGAAACAUAAACUUGCCUAAAGUUCAGAUUUUACUGAAGGAAUAGGCCUGUAUAUAAUAUGAAGGUAUCUUCAUUUCCAACUCAAGUGAAACAUGGAGAGUUGCAGAAUGAUAGAUCAUGGGUUGUUCUUAUUACUAAAAAAGCCUUUGUCUUCUAUAGAAACAAAUACUAAGAUUAUAGCAUGCUGAUGACAAUGUAUGUAAUUUGUUUCCCAGAUAGGUCCUGGGUCUUUGUUUUUUUGAGACUGUCAUUUAUAAUGAAACCACAUAGCACAUAACUUUUUGAGACAGAUUUCUUUUAUUUUGCUUAAUGGUAUUUAAUGGUGGGGCUUCAGCCAGGUUGUUGGAAAUCAUUUAUUUCUUUUUGUUUCAGCUGAGUUUAAUUCCAUUGUAUGAAUGACCCACAUUUGGUUUUAUCCACUCACCUAUUGUAGGUCAUUUAAGUUUUCCUAGGUUUGGUAAUUGUGAAUUAGACCUAUUAUAAAUAUUCAUGUACAGGAUUUUAUAUGAAUAUUAUUAUUUUUUCUUUAUAAUACCUAUUCAGCAGUGGGAUUGCUGAUACAUAUUUUAUAUGUAUAUUUAACUUUGGAAAACAGUUUGGCUAUAUUUUUAUAAAGUGAUUAUAUCAAUUUGCAUUCCUGUAAGGAGCUUAUGAGAAUUCCUGUUCUUCCACAUCCCUCACUUAUAUUUAGUAUGAGCAGCCUUUUAAAUUUUAACCAUUCAAAUAGCUGUGAGUUGGUAUCUCAUUGUGGUUUAAUAUGUGUUUCUCUAAUGACUAAUAAUGUUGAGCAUCUUUUUAUGUUCUUAUUUGCUGUUGUAUAUAUUUAUUUUUGUGUGUGAAGUAUCUGUUUAAGUCUUUUGUUAGUUUUUAAAUUGGGUUUAUUUCUUAUUUUUGAGUUUAGAGAGUUCUUCAUAUAUCCUUUAUUAGAUAUUAUGUGUUUUGCAAAAAUUUUCCUCCCAGUCUUUGACUUGUCUUCAUUUUUGUCACAGAACAUUUCUGAGUACAUGUGUUUUUUAAUUUCAAUGAAAUUCAGUUUAUCAGUUUUUCAGUGUUGUAGCUUUUGCCAAGCAGAAGGGUGCAAUGAUUUUUCUCUGUUCUAGAAGUUUUAUUACAGUUUAGGUUUUAUUUUAAGGAUAAUUUUUUUACUGUUUCUUUAAAUUUUUAUUUAUAUAUGACAGUGGAAUGCAUUACAAUUUUUAUUACACGUAUAGAGCAAAAUUUUUCAUAUCUCUGGUUGUAUACACAGAAUAUUCACACCAGUUUGUGUCUUUAUGCAUGUGCUUUGGAUAAUAAUAAUCAUCACAUUCCACCAUCAUUAAUAACCCCAUGCCCUCUCCUUUCCCCUCCCACCCCUCUGCCCUAUCUAGAGUUCAUCUCUUCCUCCCAUGCUCCCUCUCCCUAUCCCACUAUGAAUCAGACUGCCUAUAUCAAAGAAAACAUUUGGCAUUUGGUUUUUUUGAAUAGGUUAACUUCACUUAGCAUUAUCUUCUCUAACUCCAUCCAUUUACCUGCAAAUGCCAUGAUUUUAUUCUCUCUUAUUGCUGAGUAAAAUUCCAUUGUGUAUAUAUGCCACAUUUUUUUUUUAUCCAUUCAUCUAUUGAAGGGCAUCUAGGUUGAUUCCACAGUUCAGCUAUUGUGAAUUGUGCUGCUAUAAACAUUGAUGUGGCUGUGUCCCUAUAGUAUGCUGUUUUAAAGUCCUUUGGGUAUAGACCAAGGAGAAGGAUACCUGGGUCAAAUGGUGGUUCCAUUCCCAAUUUUCCAAGGAAUCUCCACACUGCUUUCCGUAUUGGCUGUACGGAUUUGCAGUCCCACCAACAGGGUAUGAGUGUACCUUUUUCCCCACAGCCUCGCCAACACUUAUUGUUGUUUGUAUGCAUAAUAGCUGCCAUUCUGACUGGAGUGAGAUGAAAUCUUAGAGUGGUUUUGAUUUGCAUUUCUCUAAAUGCUAGCGAUGAUGAACAUUUUUUCAUAUAUUUGUUGAUUGAUUGUAUAUCAUCUUCUGAGAAGUGUCUCUUCAGGUCCUUGGCCCAUUGAUGGGGUUAUUUGUUUUUUUGGUGCUUAGCUUUUUGAGUUCUUUAUAUACCCUACAGAUUAGUGCUCUAUCUGAUGUGUGAGGGGUAAAGAUUUGCUCCCAAGGUGUAGGCUCUCUACUCACCUCACAGAUUGUUUCUUUUGCUCAGAAGAAACUUUUUAGUUUGAGUCCAUUCCUUUUAUUGAUUCUUGAUUUUAAUUCUUGCACCACAGAAGUCUUAUUAAGGAAGUUGGGGCCUAAUCCCACAUGAUGGAGAUUAGAGCCUACUUUUUCUUCUAUUAGACGCAGGGUCUCUGGUUUUAUUCCCAAGUCCUCAAUCCAUUUUGAGUUGAGUUUUGUGCAUGGGAGAGAUAGGGGUUUAAUUUCAGUUUGUUGCAUAUGGAUUUUCAGUUUUCCCAGCACCAUUUGUUGAAGAGGCUAUCUUUGCUCCAAUGCAUGUUUUUGGCACCUUUGUCUAAUAUAAGAUAAAUGUAAUUUUGUGGGUUAGUCUUUGUGUCCUCUAUUCUGUACCAUUGGUCUACCCAUCUGUUUUAAUCUACUGUUGUUCUGUAGUAUAGUUUAAGGUCUGGUAUAGUGAUGCCACCUGCUUCACUCUUCCUGCUAAGGAUUGCUUUAGCUAUUCUGGGUCUCUUAUUUUUCCAGAUGAAUUCCAUAAUUGCUUUUUAUAUUUCCAUGAGAAAUGUCAUUGGAAUUUUUAUCAGAAUUGCAUUAUGGUCUUUUUUUUAAGGGGGGGGAGGAUUUUUUUUUAAUAUUUAUUUUUUAGUUUUCAGUGGACACAACAUUUUUAUUUUAUUUUUAUUUGGUGCUAAAGAUUGAACCCAGCGCCCCACGCAUGCCAGGCGAGUGCGCUACCGCUUGAGCCACAUUCCCAGCCAGUAUGUGGUCAUUUUGAUAAUAUUAAUUCUGCCUAUCCAAGAGCAAGGUAGAUCUUUCCAUCUUCUAAGAUCUUCUUUGACUUCUUCUUUAGGGUUCUGUAAUUCUCAUUAUAUAGAUCUUUCACCUCUUUCAUUAAGUUGAUUCUCAAGUUUUUUUUUUUUUUGAGGCUAUUGUAAAUGGGGUAGUUUUCCUCAUUUCCCCAUUGCAUGGAGUUCAUUCCUUAAAAGAAGAAAAAGUCAACAAAUAAAUGACUUGGAAUAAUUAAAAUCACAGUUGAAAUCAAAUUGAUUGAAACAAAGAAACAAUUAAAAAAAUGACAGACCAAAAAGUUGGUUUUUUGAAGAAAUGAAUAAAAUUGACAGACAUUUAGCCAUGCUAACAAAGAGAGGGAGAGAGAAAACUCAAAUUACUAACAUGCAUGAUGAAAAAGGAAAUAUCACAACAGACAAUACAAAAAUACAGAAGAUAAUUAGAAAUUAUUUUGAAAACUUGUACUCCAAUAAAAUAAAAAAUAUCAAAGGCUUCGACAAAUUUCUAGUCAUAUAAUUUGGCCAAAUUGAAUCAGAAUGAUAUACACAAUUUAAACAAAUCAAUUUUAAGUGACGAAAUAGCAGAUGCCAUCAAAAGUCUACCAACCAAGAAAAGCCCAGGACUGGAUGGAUACACAGCCAAGUUCUACAAGACUUUUAGAGAAGGACUAAUACUAAUACUAUGAAUUUAUUUCAGGAAUAGAAAAAGGGGCAGCACUUCUAAACUCAUUCUGUGAGGCCAACAUCACCCUGAUUCCAAAACCAGGCAAAGACGCAUCAAAGAAAGAAAACUUGAGACCAAUAUCUUUAAUGAACAUAGAUGCAAAAGUUCUCAUAAAAUUCUGGCAAAUCGAAUACAAAAACAUAUCAAAAAGAUCAUGCAUCAAGAUCAAGUGGGAUUCAUCCCAGGGAUGCAAAGUUGGUUCAACAUAUGGAAAUCAAUAAAUGUAAUUCACCACAUCAAUAGACUUUAAAGAUAAGAGUCAUAUAUAUGAUCAUCUCAAUAGACGCAGAAAAAGCAUUUGACAAAAUACAGCAUCCCUUUAUGUUCAAAACACUAGAAAAACCAAGAAUAAUAUAUGCUAAGCCCCAGGUCAACAUCAUUCUAAAUGGAGAAAAAUUGAAGGCAUUCUCUCUAAAAAUGGGAACAAGACAAGAAUACCUUCUUUUACCACUUCUAUUUAACAUAGUUCUUGAAACACUAUGUCAGUUAGACAAAAGAAAUUGAAGGUAUACACAUAGGAAAAGAAGAACUCAAAUGGGCACUAUUUGCUGAUGAUAUGAUUCUAUACCUAGAAGACCCUAAAAGUUCCACCAGAAAACUUCUAGAACUAGUAAAUGAAUUCAGCAAAGUAGCAGGAUAUAAAAUCAACACCCAUAAAUCAAAGGCAUUCCUGUAUAUCAGAUAACUUCUAAAUUUUGGUAAAAUCCAGUAUUUUGGGCUUUUGUUGGCCAUAUUUCUACUGUCAUAUCCAAAAAAUGAUUGCCAAAUUCCAUGUCAUGAAGAUUUGCUUUUCAUGUUUUCUUCAGAGUUUUAUGGAUUUAGAUUUUAUAUUGAUACCUUUGAUCCAUAUUCUGAUAACUUUUGUUUGUGGAAUAAAGUAAGGGUCCAGCUUCAUUCCUUUGCAUGUGAACACCCAGUUUUCGUGGAACCAUUUGCUGAAAAGACUGUUCUUUAUCCAUUGAAUGAUCUUAGCUCAGUUGUCAAAAAUCCUUUCGGUAUGUAUAUGAAGAUUUAGUGUUAAUUCUCAAAUUUAUACUUUUUUAAGAAAGUUUUGCUGUUCAGUGCCUCUUGCAAUUCUGUGUAUUUGAGUAUCAGUUUUUCCAUUUUUGCAAAACAAGUUGUUGGAAUUUUUAAUAGGAAAUGUGUUUAAUUUGUAAAUUACUUUGGGUAGUGUUGUCAUCUUAGCAAUAUUAUGCUUUCCAAUUCAUGAAUAUGGGAUGUCUUUCUGCUUAUUUAUGUCUUCUUGAAUUUCUUCAGCAACUUUUGUAGUUUUCAGUGUACAAGUCCUUACCUCCUUAGUUACAUUUUUUUUCCUAAAUAUUUUAUUCUUUUUCAUGCUGUUUUAAAUGGAGUAGUUUUUAAGAGUUUCCUUUUUGGAUUUUUCAUUACUGGUGUAUAGAAAUGCAGUUGAUUUUUGCCUAUGGGUAUUGUAUCCUACAACUUCACUGAAAUUGAUUAUCAGUUGUAACAGUGUUUAUAUGUGUAUUUGUGUGGAGCCUUUAAAGUUUUUUUCAAUGUAAGAUCAUAUCAUCUGUAAAUAGACAUAAUUUUAUUUUUCCCUUUCCAAUUUGGAUGCCCCCUCCCCCCAUGUCUCUGGCUAAAACUCAAUACUCUGUAGAAUAGAAGUGGAAAAAGUUAGUAUUCUUUUCUUUUUUUCUGUUCUUAGGGAAAAAUAAUUUCAGUCCUUCACCAUUGAGUGUGGUGUUAGCUGUGAGUUUUCAUAUAAGGUCUCUAUCAUGUUGAGGAAAUUUCCUCCUGUUCCUAGUUUGUUGAAUUUUUUUUUAAAUUAUGAAAGGAUUUUGAUUUUGUCAAAUGCCUUUUUCUGAAUCAAUUUAGAUGAUCUUUUUCCCUUCUAUUAAUGUGAUAUAUUACCUUGAUCCUUGAUUUUGUUUUGUUUCGAUUUUUGUUUCUUUGUUUUGUGAAUAUUUAGCCAUUCUUGCAUUCUGGAAAGAAUUGAUUACUGAUCCAUUCUCUCUAGUAGAUCAAGUUUUCUAGUUCUUCGUGAGCCAAUUUUGACAAAUUGUAUGUUUUUUGGAAUGUGCCCAUUUCACCUGGAUUAUCCAAUUUGUUGAUAUAUAGUUGUCCAAUAUUAUUUUAUAAUCCCCUUCUUUUCUGUAAAAUUAGUAGUACAUGUUAGGUGUCCCUAAUAAAAAUCCAAAAUUUCGGGCUGGGGAUGUGGCUCAAGCGGUAGCAUGCUUGCCUGGCAUGCAUGCGGCCCGGGUUCAUCCUCAGCACCACAUACAAACAAAGAUGUUGUGUCCGCCGAAAACUAAAAAAUAAAUAUUAAAAUUCUCUCUCUCUCUCUCUCUCUCUCUCUCUCUCUCUCUCUCUUUAAAAAAAAAAAAUCCAAAAUUUCUGGAACGCAUCUGUUAGAGUUUAGAUUUGAGAUGUCCCCAAAAGUUCAUGUGUGAUACAAUGCAAGAAUUUUCAGAGGUGAAAGGAUUAGAUCAUAAGAGAUUUAACUAAUCAGUGGAUUAAUUUCCGUGAUCACUGACAGAACUAGGAACAGGGCCAAUGAGGGUUACAGGCUUCUCCAGCAGCAAAUACAUUAGGCAUUCAUGGUAUUAGCAGAGAUUGCUUACCCAUUACCCGCUGUGCAAAGUCCCUUUUGGUUCAGAGUUGAUCUCAACUGGAGAGGAGAUAGUAGAGACUAUAGGCAUAGUUCUUCUCUUUAUAAAACCAUCAUGAGUCUCCAUGUUCUGGGACAUCUCUAACUGUACUCUGGUACUGUGCCUCAAACAUGCCAGUUUUUGUUUGUUUGUUUGGGGGUCUUGUUUUGUGUUUUCUUUGUUUUGGUCUUUUUUUUUUUUGCAAAGUGAAGCAAGCCAGACACCUCUAGUCAGCCAUCUUGCUAAAACAUCAUUGAGUUCCCACUUGUCUCAUUUUCUUUGAAUCUCGUGUGUUUUCUUGUGGGUAAUUUCUUUUGAUAUGUCCUCAAAUUCACUAAUGUUUCCUUCUAAAAUGUUUAAUAUGCUGUUAAUCUCAUUCUGUGUAUUUUUCAUCUCAGACGUUGCAAUUUUUAUAUCUAAAAAUUUAAUUUGGUUCUUUUGUUUCACUUAUGUCUUCCUGACUUUUAAAACAUGUUUAAAUUUCCUUGUUUGCUAAUUCUAACAUUUGUGUCAAUUUGCAGUCAAUUUUUAUUGAUUGAUUUUUCUCCUUUUUGAAAAAAUAGGUCCUUCAAUUGAUAUUUCUUUUCUUGCCUUCACAAACUUACAUUGUUGAGUUUAAAUAUUCCUUGUUAACGUUUUCAUAUUUGACCUCUUGUUUCAAAGGCUUUCUUGAAUAUAUUAUCUUGUUUUAAAUAAACUACCCUUCAUAAAAUAGGCUUUAAAGAGAUUCCUGCAAAGAAACUGAACUAAACAUCAUAUUGAAAAUGUAGACACAGAUGAACAAAAGAAAAGCUGAAAAAACAGUUCUACUUCUCUUAUGAGUUCCUUGUCUUCCAUAUGAAGAGGCUGAAGGUGAUUUAUUGAAAUGUGGUAAGAUGUUGGCAAAAUCAAAUUAAUCACAAAAAACUCCUGUUGCUGCUAUCAAUAAAGACAAUUUAUUUAUCAGUCAGAUCCCCCCCCCCCCAAAAAAAAAAAAAUGAACCAGGCAUGGUGAAAAAUCAGUUUUAGAGUGUAAAAACUGAAGAGCUCAAUUGAAUGCUAUUCACCAGGAACCAAGGGAAGAAUAAUGAAGACUUAGGGGUUUGGAUCCAGAUGAGUCAUCCUUUUACUUCUGUUGGCUUUAACAGUAGGACUCCAGUGGGCAUUGUCUCCUUUGGUUGUUAUUGGUAAAUUACAGAUAUAAUGUGUCAAAAAAAUGACUUGGAAAUAUUGUUAGUUAUCCACAUACAAAUUUUUCCUAUGUAGACUACCAAUAACCUGAUAACU